GAUGAACGCUGGCGGCGUGCCUAAUACAUGCAAGUCGAGCGAACAGAUGAGGAGCUUGCUCCUCUGACGUUAGCGGCGGACGGGUGAGUAACACGUGGAUAACCUACCUAUAAGACUGGGAUAACUACGGGAAACCGGAGCUAAUACCGGAUAAUAUAUUGAACCGCAUGGUUCAAUAGUGAAAGACGGUUUUGCUGUCACUUAUAGAUGGAUCCGCGCCGCAUUAGCUAGUUGGUAAGGUAACGGCUUACCAAGGCAACGAUGCGUAGCCGACCUGAGAGGGUGAUCGGCCACCCUGGAACUGAGACACGGUCCAGACUCCGACGGGAGGCAGCAGUAGGGAAUCUUCCGCAAUGGGCGAAAGCCUGACGGAGCAACGCCGCGUGAGUGAUGAAGGUCUUCGGAUCGUAAAACUCUGUUAUUAGGGAAGAACAAAUGUGUAAGUAACUAUGCACGUCUUGACGGUACCUAAUCAGAAAGCCACGGCUAACUACGUG
rnacentral:rRNA from 1 species